CACUGUUACUUGAUGCCUCCAUAUGGCCGUUGGCUGGUUCCAUAAGAGCGUCACAGGUCACUGGGUACACGUAUCUUGGGAAUUUGUUUUCGAACCUGGAACACAGGUGGGUACUUCCCAGCUCCAUGUGCCGUUCUCUUGGCACACGAGUUCACUGUUGCCUCGCAAGGUGUACCCAUCAUCGCAGGUGAACCUGGCUACUCCGCCCACAUUGUUACUUGAUACCCGCUUCUGGCCGUUGGCUGGUUCCAUAAGAGCGUCACAGGUCACUGGGUACACGGUGAGAAAGUCAAGAUUAUCAGUGUGAAACCUUUAAUGGAAAUUCAUUAACAAUUUCGAGUCACUGGUAGUAUAAUGGAACAUUAGAAGUUAAAAUGUACACCAGAUGUUAAUAGUAACUUUUGACCAUUUGUCAUAAUGCAGUGUGUGGGGAAUUUGAUUUCGAACCUGGAACACAGGUGGGGACUUCCCAGCUCCAUGUGCCAUUCUCUUGGCACACGAGUUCACUGUUGCCUCGCAAGGUGUACCCAUCAUCGCAGGUAAACCUGGCUACUCCACCCACAUUGUUACUUGAUACCUCCACCUGGCCGUUGGCUGGUUCCAUAAGACCGUCACAGGUCACUGGGUACACGGUGAGAAAGUCAAGAUAAUCAUUGUGAAACUUUUAAUGGAAAUUCAUUAACAAUUUCGAGUCACUGGUAGUAUAAUGGAACAUUAGAAGUUGAAAUGUACACCAGAUGUUAAUAGUAACUUUUGACCAUUUGUCAUAAUGCAGUGUGUGUGGAAUUUGUUUGCGAACCUGGAGCACAAAUGGGAACUUCCCCGCUCCAUGUUCCGUUCUCUUGGCACACGAGUUCACUUUCCCUUUGCAAGAUGUAUCCAUCAUCGCAGGUGAAGCUGGCUACUCCGCCCACGCUGCCACGAGACACUUCCUUCUGGCCGUUGAAGCGGCAACAUGUGGUUCGGCAGGCCAGAGCGGCAUGGCGGCAGCUGUUGUAAAUGGGAUGCCAGAGAGAUGUCGUUGCUUCGUGGGCCGGCCAAAGAUGCGCUGGGUAUAGACAACAUCCGAGAAUGGUCAGGGUGUGACACCAUCGAACCUAAAGCAGCAGCAUUGGAAAAGACGGGCUGUGGUGGGAGCGGAGCCAGUGAUCCCAAAUGUGUAUAAUUUGAGGAGACCACGGGCAAAUGCCUAUAUGUCUAUUGAAUGAAUGAACAUGGACGAAUGGUAUUCGCUUCGUAACAAGCAAGAUACAGCUGGAAAUUAGGACUGCCAAGUGCAAGUUCUACAGGCACACUGUUUAACAUAUGAAGUGUAGCCAGCCUGGUAAAUGGCAUAGACAAAUUCAAAAAUUUGCCAGUACAAAUCCAAACCUUCCAUGAAUCCUGUUCAAAUUUCCAGUAAACAAUCUUGUGGUUUUUGCCCUUUGUGCGAAUGGGGGGGGGGGGAUAUUCUGCGUUUGCUUUUGGCUGUUGUCCGUUUUUAUAACUUGUGAUAUUGUUUGUUUGUUGGAGUGUUCGUCUGUUUGUUGUUUGUUGUUUAGUAUUUUAUUAAAGUUUCUUUUAAAAUGCAAUUGUCAUUUUACCGGAAUGUAAUGUAACAUUUGAUGUGUGAAAUUGUAUGCCUUGUUUUUAGUUUUAUGCCUUGCUUCUUGUUUUUUUAUGUUUUUUGUUUACAUUGUAAAAUUGAUAAUGUCAUUAUAUAAGCUGUUUGUAUGCAAUAUUUUUUUGUUAAAAAUAAACCAGAAUAUUAUUAAAUUA